UAAUACGUAGGGUCCAAGCGUUGUCCGGAUUUAUUGGGCGUAAAGAGCUCGUAGGCGGUUUCGUAAGUCGGAUGUGAAAACUCAGGGCUCAACCCGGAGACGCCAUCCGAUACUGCGAUGACUGGAGUCUGGUAGGGGAUCACGGAAUACCUGGUGUAGCGGUGAAAUGCGCAGAUAUCAGGUGGAACACCGAUGGCGAAGGCAGUGAUCUGGGCCAGUACUGACGCUGAGGAGCGAAAGCGUGGGGAGCAAACAGGAUUAGAUACCCUGGUAGUCCACGCCGUAAACGUUGGGCACUAGGUGUGGGGCCUCAUCAACGGGUUCCGUGCCGUAGCUAACGCAUUAAGUGCCCCGCCUGGGGAGUACGGCCGCAAGGCUA
rnacentral:rRNA from 1 species